UGCAAGUCGAACGAAGCUUGACGGAUGAUUUCUUCGGAAUGAAACCAGAUAUGACUUAGUGGCGGACGGGUGAGUAACACGUGAGCAACCUGCCUUUCAGAGGGGGAUAACGGCUGGAAACGGUCGCUAAUACCGCAUGACGUGUUCGGAUGGCAUCAUCUGAACAUCAAAGAUUUAUCGCUGAAAGAUGGGCUCGCGUCUGAUUAGAUAGUUGGUGGGGUAACGGCCUACCAAGUCUACGAUCAGUAGCCGGACUGAGAGGUUGAACGGCCACAUUGGGACUGAGAUACGGCCCAGACUCCUACGGGAGGCAGCAGUGGGGAAUAUUGCACAAUGGGGGAAACCCUGAUGCAGCAACGCCGCGUGAAGGAUGACGGUUUUCGGAUUGUAAACUUCUUUUCUUAGUGACGAAGACAGUGACGGUAGCUAAGGAAUAAGCAUCGGCUAACUACGUGCCAGCAGCCGCGGUAAUACGUAGGAUGCAAGCGUUAUCCGGAUUUACUGGGUGUAAAGGGAGCGCAGGCGGGACUGCAAGUUGGAUGUGAAAUACCGUGGCUUAACCACGGAACUGCAUCCAAAACUGUAGUUCUUGAGUGAAGUAGAGGCAAGCGGAAUUCCGAGUGUAGCGGUGAAAUGCGUAGAUAUUCGGAGGAACACCAGUGG
rnacentral:rRNA from 1 species